AGAUUCACAAGUCACGAUUCACAACUUUCGGCGCAUAUCAGAAACAAAAAUCAAAACAAUUUACAAACCCUAAACUUUCUCUCUCUAGUUUCCAUUCUCCACUACUCAGCCUACUCUCCAAUCUCCACCGGACUCCCAAUCAGAUCGCCGGCGAAUGAAACAGCAUCAAAGACCUCCGUUCAGAUCUGAUGUUGAUGAUAUUAGUAGGGAUGAAGAUUAGUCCUUUCGGGAGAUGGAGAUUGGAUGCUCAUAUCGGAUACAUCAUUGUUAUUUUUUUUGCUUGAUCAUUUGUAGGCUAGGAUCGAUGAUUUGUCUAAUCAAUUGAAGGGAAGGGAGCCAGUAUGUUUUCCAAGAUUGAAUUACGUUCGGGGUAUCAUCAAUUAAGAGUGGCUGAUAAGGAUAUACCUAAGAGUGCUUUUAAGACUAGAUAUGGGCACUAUGAGUUUACAAUUAUGUCUUUUGGGUUGACCAAUGUACUUGCAAUAUUUAUAGACUUAAUGAAUCGAGUAUUCUAUGAGUAAGUUUGUAGUUGUUUUUAUUGAUGAUAAUUUGGUGUACUCGAAUAUUGAGGAAAACAUGAGCCCUUGGGAGGCCGAGGAUUAUAUGAGAAAGAGAAAUCCUGAGUUAUUUAA